rnacentral:lncRNA from 1 species
CUGUUGCCAUGACUGUGCCUGUCAAGUUACAUGGAGCUUCGUUCAAGUAUUUUCCGAGCCUGCUGGAUUUACAGUGAUAUUUGGCCAUCUGGGGAU